UCAACUGAAAAUAAUUGUGUUUCUUGUUUAAAUAUAAAAAAUCAAGAAAAUAAGAGAUCAUAUUUUUUCUUCAGUUCAAUAUUUCUAGAAUUAAGUGUGAAGAAGGUCCUUGCUUUGCCAUCACCUUCUGCCAUGACUGGAAGUUCCCUGAAGCCUCCCCAGCCAUGUAAAACUGAACUUUUAUUUUGCUGCAAACCACAACAACUUUGUAAUGGGCACUUCUGAAUCAUACAUAUUUGUUCCACGGAACACUAUGUGCUGCAGGAGACUUUAGCCACCUGAGAAGCUCAAAACUGAUGAAACUUUGAACCCACACUCAUCUUUCAACCAGAAAAUGCUGAUUUUCAAUGUUAAACUUCUAAGUAAGAUUGUUUGAAAACACAAUUUUGCUGAUAAAGUAAAUUACUUUUUAAAAAUUGCUAUAGCAAAUGGAGUAUCCAAUCAGUUGGCUACUAAAAUUGAAUAUCAUUUGAAAAUAAAUGCUAUGCUUAAAUUUCUUCAGGAUACCAGUAUUUUUAUUUUAUGUUAUUCAAGGGAGCAAAACUCAUUUUUCUAGAAUUAAAAAAAAUCCAAGAAAGGAAUUCCAUUUUUGAAAUGAUCUGAAUUUACGUAACUCUAUAAUAAAACAAAACAAAACAAAAAAUGUGAUACAUGCAGUUUGCAAUGACUACAGUUUAACAUAGUGAAUCAAAUCUUUGAUACUGUUUACCAUUGUGUGGUGUUUUUAUUAUAGUAUGCUCCUGAAGGAACUUCAAUAAAUUAUCUCUCAUACCUUCAUCAGUUUAAUGUGACAAGGAAAGAAAACAGAAUUGUUGAGUAUACACAUCAUUUCCAAACCUAGAAGUAGCAUUUCUUCUCAGGGUUAAACAUGUAAAAAGCAGGGAAAAUAAAAUAAUAACAUUUCUUGUGCAAGCACUGUUAUUUAUUUGUUAGUACAGAGACUACUAUUAUUUCUAGGUUGUUUUCAACCACACAGAUGAGUAAUAUUCUUUGCCUAUACACAGAAAAGCAACCUAACUCUCUGAGAUAUUCUAGAAAAAAACUGCCAAGAAGAAAAGAGUGGCAAAGUUCGAAGAAAAUAAAAUGUUUAGGCUUGUGAGAAAAAACAAAGGACACUGUAAAAGAAUUGAUAAGAAACUUCACUGCUCAGCAAAGGUUAAUCUAGUGAUAUAUGAGACAAGUGAAUACUGAAUUUUUUUCAUUGUAUUAAAAAGUAAAAUGUCUAGUAGGAGAAAUUUGAGUAAGUUAGUAACACAGAGAAAAGGUUAUCUUCAUUUCCCAUCAGAUUAACAACUGAAGUGAAUGUCAGAAGACACACAACAAAGUCACUCUCCAGGUAUACAUUGAAUGAUAGGUGAACAAGUUCAGUCCCAAAGGAAAUUAGUGGGCAAAAUUUAUUUGAAAAAGUAAUUAUCUAAAGUAAGGAACGCUUUUAAGCUCUUUGAACUCUGAAAUGGGAAAUUCCUCUGUUAAAGAUCUAAAAAGACUGGGAAAAAUAAAGUACUAUGCGUUCUCUCCUUUCCAAAGGAAAAUGUAGUGCCUUUCAUCCACCUAAAUCUGAAAUAAUUUCACUGUCCUUGCCAGUAAAGUCCUAAAUAAAACCAAGCUAACAUGGCAUUAUCUGCUCCACAAGAUAAAAUGGGCUGCACUUCGAAAAAAACUUUUAUUCCUCUUAAGACAAUACUCAAAAUACCAAACAAAUUUAUGACAAAUGAAGACACAGUUGUCUAAAUUAAUGAUUUCAAAAAGCCACAGUACAAAUUAAGUGAAACAUAAGUUUCAUCAUGAAAAAAUGGUACCGUGUUUUCAUUAGAAUUUAACUUUUUUUUUUGUAAUUCUGGAAACCAUAAACAAAAGUAAAAGAAAACUUCAAAAUAUUAUCAAAUAUACAAAUGUACAAAGUCUUAGGAAAGUUAGAGUCUCUGUGACUGAAAGACAAGACAUGGGGAUUUAUUUUCCAUGCUGAUUUAUUGUUACCUUCAUGACUCUAGUGCAAGCAAUGUUAAACUUAAAUUUGUAAUUAAUUAUUGUCUUUGCUGAAUUUUUGAGGCCUAAAAGCUACAUGGGAGAUUAAAGAUGACCAAUCUCACCAAUGUAUUUGCUCAACAGUAAAUUUGAGUAUUUCUCCACAUUGCGUUAUUUUUGAGUAUUAUUUUCAUAGUACAAUAAUUAAUUUAUAUAUUUACAAUUUGUUCCUUUACAUCAUUCUGAAUAUAAGCUGCAUUUCUAAAUGACUCUGUAGAAAUCUUUCUGAAAAGCACCUAACCGCUCCUCUUGUCAGAUGUGAAGGUAGUAUUUUUACACAGCGCUAUCUCUAAAAUCGGCUGUACUUAUAAACGAUGACUCCAGUUAACAUCAGAUAGCCUCCUCCCUAUCUGGCUAUAAGCUCUAGUAAUAUCACUUCUUUCUAUAGUCUCUUCGAUCUAACAGAGACAGUAGCAUUUCACAAUUGUUACUCUUUAGGCCAUCUAUCUCCUAUGUUAGUCCUCUGGCACAAAAGUAUUUUAAUAUUUUUUAAUCUAUUAUUAAAGUGGCCACAAGUUAAAUUUCUUAUAUAAUUUUCUGUUAUAUUAUUUACACAAUUCAUUUGCAAUUGACAGAUUGUCCUCCUUUCCCUGAUUACUGCUUAAUGUUAACAAUCUUUUAGAGAUGUUAUUUCUUUUGUUGAAAUAUUUUCUUCCUCAUCUAUCCAAAUUCUAUCUACCAUUUCAGAUCCAGAUCCUAUUUAUGUUUCUUGGAAAAUACUCGCAUCACUCUUUCCCAUGAUUUAAUUCAUCGUAUAAUCACACACCACAUAACAAUACUUUGGUCAAUGAUAUACCUCAUAUACGUUGGGGAUCCUAUGAGAUUAUAAUACUGUAUUUUACUAUACUUUUUCUAUAUUUAGACAUGUUUAGAUACACAAAUAUUUACCACUGUGUUAUGAUUGCCUACACCAAUCAGUAUGGUAACAUUCUGUAUAAGUUUGUAACCUAGGAGCAAUGGGUUACACCAUCUAGCAUAGGUGUGUAGUUUGUUUUAGCAUCUAGGUUUGCAUAAGUAUAUGUUAUGAUGUUUGCACAACAACCAAGUUGCCUAAAUAAACCUGUCGUUAAGUGACACAUGACUGAAUUUAAUCUCUCAACCCCUCUUUCUGUUUCAUAGCACUUUCUAUAUCCUCAUAUUACAGUGUACAAAAUAUUGUGCUAUGCUUUUCCAUAAUAAACCCAAAGCCUUUUUGUAGUGCUUAAUAAUAAACUAUUAUAAAGUGUGAGGUUUUCCAGGAUGAUAUAUGUCAUGGUCUAUUAUAGUUAGCAUAUAAUAGAAAAUAGAUGUGUUUUUGUUUAAUAGAGCUGCAUUGCUCACUGGUUAUCAUGCUGUGUUGCAAACUCUUUCACAUUUGUAUCUUAUUCCUUCAAUUUCAAGAAGAAUAUAAAUUAAAAAAGGAAAAAUUAUGUCAAACAGAAGUUUAUGUAUACUAAGCACUUGUCAAUGUACUGCAUAAGAGUAACUGCCUAUAUUAAAGAUUUCUUAAC